rnacentral:rRNA from 1 species
CAUAUCAAUAAGCGGAGGAAAAGAAACCAACAGGGAUUGCCUUAGUAGCGGCGAGUGAAGCGGCAAUAGCUCAAAUUUGAAAUCUGGCACUUUCAGUGUCCGAGUUGUAAUUUGAAGAAGGUAUCUUUGGGUCUAGCUCUUGUCUAUGUUUCUUGGAACAGAACGUCACAGAGGGUGAGAAUCCCGUGCGAUGAGAUGUCUAGAUCUAUGUAAAGUUCCUUCGAAGAGUCGAGUUGUUUGGGAAUGCAGCUCUAAGUGGGUGGUAAAUUCCAUCUAAAGCUAAAUAUUGGCGAGAGACCGAUAGCGAACAAGUACAGUGAUGGAAAGAUGAAAAGAACUUUGAAAAGAGAGUGAAAAAGUACGUGAAAUUGUUGAAAGGGAAGGGCUUGAGAUCAGACUUGGUAUUUUGUAUGUUACUCUCUCGGGGGUGGCCUCUACAGUUUACCGGGCCAGCAUCAGUUUGAGCGGUAGGAGAAUUGCGUAGGAAUGUGGCUCGGCCUCGGUCGAGUGUUAUAGCCUUCGUCGAUACUGCCAGCUUAGACUGAGGACUGCGGCUUCGGCCUAGGAUGUUGGCAUAAUGAUCUUAAGUCGCCCGUCUUGAAA